UUCCUACGGGGCGCAGCAGUGAGGAAUAUUGGUCAAUGGCCGAGAGGCUGAACCAGCCAAGUCGCGUGAGGGAUGACGGCCCUACGGGUUGUAAACCUCUUUUGUCGGGGAGCAAGACCCGCCACGAGUGGCGGAGCGAGAGUACCCGAAGAAAAAGCAUCGGCUAACUCCGUGCCAGCAGCCGCGGUAAUACGGAGGAUGCGAGCGUUAUCCGGAUUUAUUGGGCGUAAAGGGAACGCAGGCGGUCUUUUAAGUCUGAUGUGAAAGCCUUCGGCUUAACCGGAGUAGUGCAUUGGAAAAUGGGG
rnacentral:rRNA from 1 species